GGUCAUCUGGUGGCCCCCGUACGGGGAAUAAAAGACUCAGCGACGUGCCUCUUCGGCCGGGAGGUGCGAUUGCUGUCGCCUGCGGUACGACGGAGGACCUGGCCCAAUAACAACGGAAGGCCGCGAGCACCUCUUCUCUUCACCCUGAUCAGCUACGUGAGAUACAGCGGUUCCCGGGACAGGAACCAGGUCGCGAACCGCUGUGGGUCCCGGAAAGAUUGACGCGAGCAGUAAACUCCCCACCAGUUCCUGAUAAAGCACAGGAAGAUAAGCCCGCGGACACAAGUCAACUCGACCCUUCUGGGACCGACGCUCAGCGCCCGAGACCAUCUACAAACUAAAAUGUCUGGUUUGGAGCUUUUUCUAUUCUGAGGGUUCCUAUUAAUCACCCCUGUGAUAUGCUCAGAUUCCACAGAACCACCACAAUAUCUUUGGGGUCCUUGGCACCACCCGCCCACAUUGGCACCUUUUUCGGCGGCCUCGCCCGCCUCACCCAGGGUUUACACCAUCAAUCAAACAGUCCUUGAUUAUGCUAAUUGCCAUGGCUAUCCUAGUAGGGCUUGUGGUUAUUAAAUGCUUGUUAGAUUGCCUCAUACAAACUCAGCAGCAGGUUAAGAUCACAGCUAUGGCAGCCAUGCAAAUGGCAGCAGGUGGCCCAUCAGGCCAGCAGGCCGCCGCAUAUCUCCUUCACAUUGCAGAACAUCAGCUGUAAGAGCUGAGUGGGCAAGCCAAUGACGGGUAAGACGGGAAAAGCCCUCCCAGUCAACCUAAGACAGGCUCCACUCAGAUAUACAUGGCCUAUAAGGCCAGGGGUCCCUCCCGGAGUCAAAUUAUUGGCAUUGAGAUGCGAGACCAAGGGUACUGCAGUGCCAUCCGCCUCAAAGGUUGGGGGGAAGGCAGGAAUGAAUGUCUAUAUGCAUCCAGGUUCGGUUCACAAAAGCCUGGCCCUGCGAAAAAAUGAACCACUCACCUUGAGCAUGGUCCUGGCGCAAGGAUAUGCACAAAACAGGGUGAUGCACAGCAGGGUAUAGACCUCUACAUUCUCUCAUGCCUCGGCCUACAAGGUAGGCCCACUCCUAGGUGUCUAACAGCAACAACGUCAUAGACACCUUGGAGGGACCCACAGACCAUCCUAUUUUAAUAAAUAAAAAAGGGGGAGAUGUGGGAAGCCGCCUAUGAAUGGCGCCCAUUUCCUGCUUCCGGGUUCUUCCCGGCCUGAACAAGCCCGCCAAAUUGUCAUGUCUGCCCAGUUACCCGUGACGCUAGCCUAUCAGCUUGUUAGACGCGCUUCUCUGUGAUUGGAUACUGCUUCCCCUUAUAAGAGGUUGUUCCUGCCCCCAACGGCGGAAGAGGAAUCAACACCGAGGGUGGCGGACCUUGUCAGGUCCGGUUCGCUGUACGUAAUAAAGUUUGAGAGCUGA